rnacentral:rRNA from 1 species
AUUGAACGCUGGCGGCAGGCCUAACACAUGCAAGUCGAACGAGUGGCGGACGGGUGAGUAAUGUCUGGGAAACUGCCUGAUGGUGGGGGAUAACUACUGGAAACGGUAGCUAAUACCGCAUACCAUCAGAUGUGCCCAGAUGGGUUUAGCUAGUUGGUGGGGUAACGGCUCACCAAGGCGACGAUCCCUAGCUGGGCUGAGAGGAUGACAAGCCACACUGGAACUGAGCCGCGGGCCAGACUCCUACGGGAGGCAGCAGUGGGGAAUAUUGCACAAUGGGCGCAAGCCUAAUGCAGCCAUGCCGAGUGUAUGAAGAAGGCCUUCGGGUUGUAAAGUAAUUUCAGCGGGGAGGCGUUACCCGCAGAAGAAGCACCGGCUAACUCCGUGCCAGCCGCCGCGGUAAUUC